AGAGGGGUGCCCAAGCGGUUGCCGAGGCUGAGAUUAUACCCGUAACACCUGAUGCGGAUAAUGCCGCCGUAGGGACUGUC
rnacentral:ncRNA from 1 species